AUCCCUGACAUUUAUUUAUAAAUUUUUAAUUAAAAACCAAGGUUAAUUGAUCCAAACUGCGAUAUAUAAAGUGCGUUAAUGUAAAAUCUAUUUUAUCCUCAAUGUGAAACUUCGAAAAUUGACAAAUCAGAAUAACUUUUUUUUCACCUUUCUUCGUUAUCGUUAUGUUCUUCUGAUUUAAAAUUCUUGACACGAAAUAGAAUUAAAUUAUAAUGUUUAAAGAAAUAUUUACAUCUGUCAUUGAUAGUGCUGAUUCUAAAUGAUGACGUAAUUAGUUUUUAUGUAUCCCUUAAAAAGUGUCCCUUAAUAAGGGUUUUACUGUACUAUCAUUGUAAGAGUACACAUAUAACAUUUCUCUGCCUUGUUUUCUAGCAUGCGUACAACGUCUCAGCGUCACUCACAGACAUAUUUACGCGUUAUUAAAAGGAAGGAUUUGCUGUAUUUAUCUUCUUAGCUUAUUGAAUAAACUCAUUAGGAGCA